GUCUACGGCCAUACCACCCUGAACGCGCCCGAUCUCGUCUGAUCUCGGAAGCUAAGCAGGGUCGGGCCUGGUUAGUACUUGGAUGGGAAAAGGGUACUAAUUGGUAACAGGAAAAC
rnacentral:rRNA from 1 species